GCGGCAGCUACACAUGCAGUCGAGCGGUAGCACAGAGAGCUUGCUCUCGGGUGACGAGCGGCGGACGGGUGAGUAAUGUCUGGGAAACUGCCUGAUGGAGGGGGAUAACUACUGGAAACGGUAGCUAAUACCGCAUAACGUCGCAAGACCAAAGUGGGGGACCUUCGGGCCUCAUGCCAUCAGAUGUGCCCAGAUGGGAUUAGCUAGUAGGUGGGGUAACGGCUCACCUAGGCGACGAUCCCUAGCUGGUCUGAGAGGAUGACCAGCCACACUGGAACUGAGACACGGUCCAGACUCCUACGGGAGGCAGCAGUGGGGAAUAUUGCACAAUGGGCGCAAGCCUGAUGCAGCCAUGCCGCGUGUGUGAAGAAGGCCUUCGGGUUGUAAAGCACUUUCAGCGGGGAGGAAGGCGUUAAGGUUAAUAACCUUGUCGAUUGACGUUACCCGCAGAAGAAGCACCGGCUAACUCCGUGCCAGCAGCCGCGGUAAUACGGAGGGUGCAAGCGUUAAUCGGAAUUACUGGGCGUAAAGCGCACGCAGGCGGUCUGUCAAGUCGGAUGUGAAAUCCCCGGGCUCAACCUGGGAACUGCAUUCGAAACUGGCAGGCUAGAGUCUUGUAGAGGGGGGUAGAAUUCCAGGUGUAGCGGUGAAAUGCGUAGAGAUCUGGAGGAAUACCGGUGGCGAAGGCGGCCCCCUGGACAAAGACUGACGCUCAGGUGCGAAAGCGUGGGGAGCAAACAGGAUUAGAUACCCUGGUAGUCCACGCCGUAAACGAUGUCGAUUUGGAGGUUGUGCCCUUGAGGCGUGGCUUCCGGAGCUAACGCGUUAAAUCGACCGCCUGGGGAGUACGGCCGCAAGGUUAAAACUCAAAUGAAUUGACGGAGGCCCGCACAAGCGGUGGAGCAUGUGGUGUAAUUCGAUGCAACGCGAAGAACCUUACCUGCUCUUGACAUCCACGAACUUUCCAGAGAUGGAUGGUGCCUUCGGGAACUG
rnacentral:rRNA from 1 species